GCGUAUAUUGGAUUCACAUUUAAUUGCACUUUAAGUGCGACAACUAUGCUCAUUGAGCCAUCACAAGUGUGACCACAAAUGUGUGCAUUAAAAUUAGUUUAUGACAUAUCACAUACAAGUAUGCACACUCAUUACCUAUCAUAAUAACAUCACAAUCCACAACUCGACAUACAUUAGGCAUAAUUUUUCAACAAGGCAAUAAGUAUAAUGAAGGCUUACACUCAAAACUUAG
rnacentral:lncRNA from 1 species